rnacentral:rRNA from 1 species
AACGAACGCUGGCGGCAUGCCUAACACAUGCGAGUCGAACGAGACCUUCGGGUCUAGUGGCGCACGGGUGCGUAACGCGUGGGAACCUGCCCUUAGGUUCGGAAUAACUCCCCGAAAGGGGUGCUAAUACCGGAUAAUGUCUUCGGACCAAAGAUUUAUCGCCUUUGGAUGGUCCCGCGUUGGAUUAGCUAGUUGGUAGGGUAAAAGCCUACCAAGGCGACGAUCCAUAGCUGGUCUGAGAGGAUGAUCAGCCACACUGGGACUGAGACACGGCCCAGACUCCUACGGGAGGCAGCAGUGGGGAAUAUUGGACAAUGGGCGAAAGCCUGAUCCAGCAAUGCCGCGUGAGUGAUGAAGGCCUUAGGGUUGUAAAGCUCUUUUACCCGGGAUGAUAAUGACAGUACCGGGAGAAUAAGCUCCGGCUAACUCCGUG